rnacentral:lncRNA from 1 species
CCCGGUCUUUUCACCUCCGAAUAAAUAUGCUCUUAUCUGGCAGUUAGCUAUCUGGAGGAUAAAUAUUUAUUCGCCAGAUAAAAUGUACCCGUCUUUUCACGUCAAUUUAUGUUCCAGUUAGUUAUCCGGUAGAUAAGCUUAAAACUUUAACUUAACCUAACAUAAUUAGAUUCAAAGUAUUUCAAAGAUGAUUUUAUCGAUUUUAUUUCCAUUUUGGAAGAAGGAAUGAAGGAAAUAAGGAAAACAUUGAUUAUGCUGAAAUAGUUUACUGGAGAGCUUGAACAAGAGGUAAAUCCAUUUUAAAUUAGAGGAAAACUGUUGAUUUGUAUGUAAAAUAGAAGACAAAGACAAGUUUAAAUAAAGACAAGCUAGCUAAUGAAACAGAUGCAGUGAUAUGACAAACACCUAGAAGAUGGAAUCCUGUGUUCUCAAAGAAAAAGCUAGUUCCAGAAAUAAGCUACCAAUAAUAAACUAGAGAAUGUAUUACAAGAAAGAACAACGCUAAUACCCAACAUAGCUCAAUUGCUUCAGAUAGAAAAAGAGGAGGAAAGGGUAGAACACAAGCGUGCCAGAGAAAAUUAAAGGGCAGAAGAGACACAAAAAUUCAUUGAUUUAUUAAAUUUAAUAAUUAAAUUAUACAAAGGACAAUUAAAUAAAGAAUAAAAAAUUA